AACGAAGGCGUACUCCUACGCCUCAAAUCUUUCAUGCCUUUUGGCUUUUCCCAAUUAAGAUUAUACAUACUAUUUAGCAAACAAAACAAUGGUAGUAGCAAUUAAUCCAACAAAAUAAGAAUUUUUAGAAACGUAAGUAUUCCUCCAAAAAAGAUAAAAUAGGUGAUUAGUUUACCUUGCCAGACAACUAAAUAAAAUUAAUGUGAAACUUAAGAUAAAAGGCAGACGAGAUUUUUUAGGUUCUGUGAAGACAAAUCCCUUUCUAUUUCGUUUUGACAUGCAUAGAAGUUAACACAUACUACGGAAAUGCUAAAAAAACGAGAUAGUGUCGCCAUGAUAACUGCAAUGCUGCUGAAACCCUCAACUUUAUU